rnacentral:rRNA from 1 species
AUUGAACGCUGGCGGCAGUGCCUUACACAUGCAAGUCGAACGGCAGCACGGGAGCAAUCCUGGUGGCGAGUGGCGAACGGGUGAGUAAUACAUCGGAACGUGCCCAGUAGUGGGGGAUAACCCGGCGAAAGCCGGACUAAUACCGCAUACGACCUACGGGUGAAAGCGGGGGAUCGCAAGACCUCGCGCUAUCGGAGCGGCCGAUGUCAGAUUAGCUAGUUGGUGGGGAAAGGCCUACCAAGGCGACGAUCUGUAGCUGGUCUGAGAGGACGACCAGCCACACUGGGACUGAGACACGGCCCAGACUCCUACGGGAGGCAGCAGUGGGGAAUUUUGGACAAUGGGCGCAAGCCUGAUCCAGCCAUGCCGCGUGCGGGAAGAAGGCCU